AGCGGCGAACGGGUGAGUAACACGUGGGCAACCUGCCCUCAGCUCUGGGAUAACUCCAAGAAAUUGGUGCUAAUACCGGAUGUGACCGCUGACCGCAUGGUCUGGUGGUGGAAAGAUUUAUCGGCUGAGGAUGGGCCCGCGGCCUAUCAGCUUGUUGGUGGGGUGAUGGCCUACCAAGGCGACGACGGGUAGCCGGCCUGAGAGGGUGACCGGCCACACUGGGACUGAGACACGGCCCAGACUCCUACGGGAGGCAGCAGUGGGGAAUAUUGCGCAAUGGGCGGAAGCCUGACGCAGCGACGCCGCGUGGGGGAUGACGGCCUUCGGGUUGUAAACCUCUUUCAGCAGGGACGAAGCGGAAGUGACGGUACCUGCAGAAGAAGCACCGGCCAACUACGUGCCAGCAGCCGCGGUAAUACGUAGGGUGCAAGCGUUGUCCGGAAUUAUUGGGCGUAAAGAGCUCGUAGGCGGUCUGUCGCGUCGGCUGUGAAAACCCGAGGCUCAACCUCGGGCCUGCAGUCGAUACGGGCAAACUGGAGUGUUGCAGGGGAGACUGGAAUUCCUGGUGUAGCGGUGAAAUGCGCAGAUAUCAGGAGGAACACCGGUGGCGAAGGCGGGUCUCUGGGCAACAACUGACGCUG
rnacentral:rRNA from 1 species